UUGACUUCCCUCCUUCCUCAUGCCUAUCACGCCUUUGGAUCCUUCAUCAGGCCCAAAUCCUUUGUGCGAAACCACACCCGGUUUGAUUCUGCUAAGCCAAAACGUCAAAACAGUGUUUCCGGUCUCUACUCGAUCAUCAUCUCAGCCUUGAUUCUAUCAGUUGACUUUGUCGGCAUGCCCCUUUCUUUAUUUAACAUUGUUUUUGUUCUUCUGUGAGGGUUUGAUAAUUGCUAUUGCUUCUCUGAUAUUCAUCAUGUUGUUUUCACACCUUUCUGUAAUGAUAAUAUAGUGUUUUUAUUUUACUUUCAUUGAAAAUUGAUUUUGUGUGAGUCACUAAUUUUGGAAGGGUCAUUUUAUACUCGGCAUAUCUAGAGUUUUUUGCCUUAGUGUUUUUUUAGGGUUUCAUUGGAUCUUAUUUUGGGGAUUGUUGCUGAAUUUGAAAUUGAACUAUAUUUUUGUCUUUUUGUUUUGCAAAUUUCUAAUGUUAUUAUAUUAUUCUACUAUUCUAGGCUUUGGGGUUUAUAUUUUGGUGGUGGAUCUUCAAACUGGAUGUUUCACGAAUAUAAACAAUUGCCGCGAUCAUGAAUAAGCAACAAUUGAUGAAAUCUGAAAUGUUCUUAAGCACAUUUAUAAUCAAAUCUGGUAUGUAGUUUAAUUUCUCCAUCAAAAAAGAAUUGAUGGAAUAUCUCCAUCAAUGUGCUCAAGAAAAACUAACCUCAUCUUUCUGUUUGAUUAUAAAUGUUCUUCUACUACUUACAUGUUCUUAAGCAUAUUUAUAAUCAAAUCCGAUAUGUAAUUUAAUUUCUUUAUUUGGGACAAACUUAUAACCUCAUCUCUCUUUAUGCUCUUCUACUUUGGAUAUCUCCAUAUAUUAUAUAUAAUAUGAUUACUUUGUAAUACAUAAUUGAUAUACUAGACUAGAAUCUCUGCCUUGGGAUUAAAGCAAUAUGACAGAGAUGAAUGGAUUGGCUUCUAUGCAUUAGUUACCACAAGUUGAGUUAAAUGCCUUCAUAGAACACAUGUGAAUAUGGAAGUAAGCUUAUGGCAAUGUUGGAUUGGUUCCUCAUGUGCAACUUCGGAUUUCUUUACACCAAAUAAAUGAUAACUAUAUAGCAGAAACACAAAAAAUGAAGAACAGAUUUAGUGAGACACUACAUUAGUUGUUAUUAGUGAGGCACUGCUACUCUUUCAUUCAGCAUGGAGAACAAAUUUAGUCCUUUUUUAGUCAUUAUCCAUUUAAAGCCAAUGUUUUUUUGUUUGUUAUCAUUGCUUGAUUAGUUUAUCCAAUUGAAUGUUGUGUUGUCGUCUUGGUUAUAUUACUUAGAUUUGAAACUGGAAUGAUGACAGUGUGUUUCUUUAUAUUCCACUUCUUAUCUUAGUGAAUAAUGAAAGUUCUUUUACCAUUAUAUUUAUAAGUGACAUAUAUGUUUUAAAACUGACUCUAAAUAUGAAUUUAAAAUGGUCUAAUUACCAAGACUUUGCUCAUAUAUAUAUAUAUAUAUAUAUAUAUUUUUUAUGUUAUGCUCUGGAGUCCUUUUUGUUUCUUGGCAUAUAUUUGCUAGCAACCACGCCUGAAAUGGAUGUAUCCUCUCAUGUUCAUUCUAUGUCCCAUUUUCCCUCUUUGGCUGCCUCUAUGAAGAGGCAUCUUUGAUCCUUUUUAUGGUGAGAAAGGACAUAUUUGAGUUAAUAACUAUGUUCUGUCUCUCAUUUCUGGCGAAGAAAGGACAUAUUUGAGUUGUGAUUCUCUAAUAGCAGAUACCGCAUCAGUCAAUAGGCCAGAUUAUAUUCACACACUAGAAUUCCUGAACACAAUCAAUUCAUCGAGUCUUCUUAAUCACAAGAUUACUUUGAAAGUUGGAGUUCCUUUUAUGUUGAGAAAUUUGGACAUAACAACACGUUUGUGUAAUGGUACUCGACUAAUAGUCAUAAGAUGGGAAGAUAUGUUAUUGAAGGAGGGUAAUAUCAGGAAGCAAUGUUGGAGAGAAGGUCUACAUACCAAGAUUGUCAUUGACGCAAUCUGAUACCAGAAUUCGUUUCAAAUUUCAACGCAGACAGUUUACUAUAGCUUUGUGUUUUGCAAUGACCAUAAACAAAAGUCAGGGACAAUCACUUAAGCAAGUUGGGAUCUAUCUUCCACAAUCGGUCUUCUCACAUGGGCAGCUAUAUGUUGCAAUAUCACAUGUUACAUCAAGGGAUGGUCUGAAGAUAUUAUUAACAGAUGACAAUGGGGAUUAUAUCAGCACCAUUUCAAAUGUAGUUUAUAAGGAAAUAUUCGAAAAUGUGUGACCCAAUAUUUUGUAUGCCCUUAAAUACUUUUUAUGUUUAUUUAUUUUAUUUUUUAUGUAAUGAAUAAUAUCGGAACUUUUUUA